rnacentral:rRNA from 1 species
GACAGAGGGUGCAAACGUUGUUCGGAAUUACUGGGCGUAAAGCGCGUGUAGGCUGCCCCGAAAGUCAGGUGUGAAAGCCCCUGGGCUCAACCCAGGAAGUGCACUUGAAACUUCGGUGGCUUGAGUUCUGGAGAGGAUGGCGGAAUUCUCGGUGUAGAGGUGAAAUUCGUAGAUAUCGAGAGGAACACCGGUGGCGAAGGCGGCUUCCUGGACCGACACUGACGCUGGAGGCGACGAAAGCUAGGGGAGCAAACGGG